AGGUUUUGAGAAUGGAUCCGGGGGAGCCCCGCUUACGCCGGCCGCACGGAUAUCAGCACUGAACAUCGUCGGGGACCUCCUGCAGAAAGUUGGGGCCCUGGAAUCAAAACUGGCCUCCUGCCGAAACUUCGUCUACGACCAGAGUCUGUGCCGGAGCCCAGCGGCCCCUCCCCACUACUUGGGCAGGGACGGGUUCGAGAGGCGGCUGAGCGGCCCCCACCUGCCCCAGGGGCUGGCCAGGAGUGUGGAUCUAGGCCCAUGGCCACCCAACCUUGCCGGGCCGGCGGGCCUUUCAGCCCAGGGGGCAGCCCAGCGGCUCUUCUGAGGGACCGUGGGGCCAGCAGCCGGAAGCCGCUGUUCGCCUGCCACAGAGGAGAGCAACGAGAGGGCAGCUGGCUGCGUCCGCAGGAAGAGGGAGCCGUCUUGGGUCCCAGGAGGCUGAAGGGCCACACCAAGUGCCUCGCAGGAGGGCCGGAGGCGGGUUUUCCUUGCCUCGGACCCCUGCCCCGCCUGCCUCCCGUUGGGCCCCAAAGGCCCUUGUCCUUGAAUGGGGGCAGCGGGUGCCUUCCGGGGGAGCCUCCGGGAUUCCUAACCCAGCAUUUCUGGACACCCCAAGUGCAUCUUUGGGGCCUCCGAAGGAGCCCCUCCUGACGGGACCCUCCCUGGCAAAAGGGGUCGGGGUCUCAGGAAGCUCAGCGACACCAGCUUUCUCUGCUGCUGGAGAGGAGGGGGCCUGGCAGGUGCACCUGCCGAACGAAUUUUAAAAAGCACAAGCUGCUACACUCCAGAGGUUUGGGACAAAAGCUCCCCUCAUCCUUGGCCAACAAGGCCUUGGGGCGAUGGGUGUUGUAAUCCAACCCAUUCGAAGUCUGCCAUCCAACGGGUCUCCCUGGUGCCUCCAUCCCCGUCUGAAGGGGCUU